rnacentral:rRNA from 1 species
AGAGUUUGAUCCUGGCUCAGGAUGAACGCUAGCGACAGGCUUAACACAUGCAAGUCGAGGGGCAGCGGGGGAGAAAGCUUGCUUUCUCCUGCCGGCGACCGGCGCACGGGUGAGUAACACGUAUGCAACCUGGCCGUCACAGGUGGAUAACCGGAAGAAAUUCCGACUAAUACAGCAUAACACUCUUGAGGGACAUCUUUCGGGAGUCAAAGGAGGCGACUCCGGUGACGGAUGGGCAUGCGGCGCAUUAGGUAGUUGGUAGGGUAACGGCCUACCAAGCCGACGAUGCGUAGGGGUUCUGAGAGGAAGGUCCCCCACAUUGGAACUGAGACACGGUCCAAACUCCUACGGGAGGCAGCAGUGAGGAAUAUUGGUCAAUGGCCGGAAGGCUGAACCAGCCAAGUCGCGUGAGGGAAUAAGGCCCUAUGGGUCGUAAACCUCUUUUAUCAGGGAGCAAAGGCGUCCACGUGUGGACGAGAGGAGAGUACCUGAAGAAAAAGCAUCGGCUAACUCCGUGCCAGCAGCCGCGGUAAUACGGAGGAUGCGAGCGUUAUCCGGAUUUAUUGGGUUUAAAGGGUGCGUAGGCGGAGUGUCAAGUCAGCGGUAAAAUUUCGGGGCUCAACCCCGUCGUGCCGUUGAAACUGACACCCUUGAGUGAGUGAGAAGUAAGCGGAAUGCGUGGUGUAGCGGUGAAAUGCAUAGAUAUCACGCAGAACGCCGAUUGGGAAGGCAGCUUACCGGCGCUCAACUGACGCUGAGGGCACGAAAGUGCGGGUAUCGAACAGGAUUAGAUACCCUGGUAGUCCGCACAGUAAAACGAUGAAUGCUAGAUGUCCGGGGCGAAUGAGCUUUGGGUGUCACAGCGAAAGCGUUAAGCAUUCCACCUGGGGAGUACGCCGGCAACGGUGAAACUCAAAGGAAUUGACGGGGGCCCGCACAAGCGGAGGAACAUGUGGUUUAAUUCGAUGAUACGCGAGGAACCUUACCCGGGCUCAAACGCCUCAGGAAUCAUUUGUGAAAGCAGAUGAGUCUUCGGACCUGAGGCGAGGUGGUGCAUGGUUGUCGUCAGCUCGUGUCGUGAGAUGUUGGGUUAAGUCCCGCAACGAGCGCAACCCCCAUCGUUAGUAGCCAGCAGGUAGAGCCGGGCACUCUAUGGAGACUGCCGGGGAUAACCCGGAGGAAGGUGGGGAUGACGUCAAAUCAUCAUGCCCCUUAUGUUCGGGGCUACACACGUGUUACAAUGGCGUAAACAAAGGGAAGCGAGAGGGCGAUGUUAAGCAAAUCCCAGAAACAACGUCCCAGUUGGGAUUGUAUUCUGCAACCCGGUCACAGGAAGCGGGAAUCGCUAGUAAUCGCGGAUCAGCAUGCCGCGGUGAAUACGUUCCCGGGUCUUGUACACACCGCCCGUCAAG